rnacentral:rRNA from 1 species
CAGCCGCCGCGGGAAUACAUAGGUGGAAAGCGUUGUCCGGAAUUAUUGGGCGUAAAGGGCUCGCAGGCGGUUUCUUAAGUCUGAUGUGAAAGCCCCCGGCUCAACCGGGGAGGGUCAUUGGAAACUGGGAAACUUGAGUGCAGAAGAGGAGAGUGGAAUUCCACGUGUAGCGGCGAAAUGCGUAGAGAUGUGGAGGAACACCAGUGGCGAAGGCGACUCUCUGGUCUGUAACUGACGCUGAGGAGCGGAAGCGUGGGGAGCGAACAGGAUUAGAUACCCGAGUAGUCCCUGUCUCUUAUAC